UUUUACACGCUUUAGUGCGAGCAACCUAUUUUAGGCUAGAGGCGUUGUUUGAGAUCAGACUUUCCAAAUGGAGUUCAGUGUUACAAUCAGGGCAGUUGUUCAAUAAUGCUUCAAUAAAAUUCAUUAAAGAUGAAGUUGCCAAAGCUAACACACAUGUGGUCAUAGUGUUUGACCAUACUAAAGGUUAGUUCAAUGCUGUUGAGUCAAUGGAUCAC
rnacentral:lncRNA from 1 species